UACGAAGGGGGCUAGCGUUGCUCGGAAUUACUGGGCGUAAAGCGCACGUAGGCGGCUUUGUAAGUUAGAGGUGAAAGCCCGGGGCUCAACCCCGGAAUUGCCUUUAAGACUGCAUCGCUUGAAUCCGGGAGAGGUGAGUGGAAUUCCGAGUGUAGAGGUGAAAGUUCGUAGAUAUUCGGAAGAACACCAGUGGCGAAGGCGGCGUCACUGGACCGGUAUUGACGCUGAGGUGCGAAAGCGUGGGGAGCAAACAG
rnacentral:rRNA from 1 species